rnacentral:rRNA from 1 species
UAUGGGGGGGGCAAGCGUUGUUCGGAAUUACUGGGCGUAAAGGGCGCGUAGGCGGCCUGCUAAGUCGGACGUGAAAUCCCUCGGCUCAACCGGGGAAUGGCAUUUGGGACUGCAAGGCUGGAGUUUGGCAGAGGAGACUGGAAUUCCCGGUGUAGCAGUGAAAUGCGUAGAUAUCGGGAGGAAUACCGAUGGCGAAGGCAGGUCUCUGGGCUAUAACUGACGCUCAUGCACGAAAGCGUGGGGAGCAAACAGGA